GGGGGACGGUGUGCAUGGCGUCCGUCCGUGUCACGUGCGGUUGCCGGCCUGCGUUUUGCAGGUCGUGCAGCGGCGCUCACUCCACACCCCGUAGCCGUAGAACACGCGGAGUUCAUAGUACUGGUCUUUGUUGUCAUUAAUGACGCUUUACCGACGGCCAGCCUCCAAACUCUCCGACAUGC